ACAUGAUAACUCGGUUCCGAGAACACUUUUUAAGACAUUUACUGUAGUCAAAGUUUAUUAUUUUUCCUGUAAACUACGUCAGAUAUAAUGCCACAAUGUGAAAGUUUUUUUUUGUUUUUUUGUAUUUCUUUCAAAAUGUUGUCAAAAUGACGGGUAUGACUACGGGUCUUCGGUCACCGGGAAGGUGACGACGACGAACUCCUUGCUCGCGACCACCUCCUCGAUGCCCUGCUCUUCUACGUGCCGAGGUCCUUGCUGGUGGCCUUGCCGGAUAAAAAUCCAAAACUUCUUUAUUCAGUAUUGCCGCCCCCGCCCCCGAAGUCGAGACACCGAAUGAUCCAAAAACCUAAGCUACUAGGACCCUAAAACCUAAAGCUAAAAUGAUCCACACACGCGGGAUCCGACGACCCUCCUCACCGCCGACGACCAAGAAGUCACCGGCAGAGGGGAAUCGCCGAAAGACGGCGCCAAAAGAGUCGGUUCUCUUAGCCAAAGAGAUAUGCACUUUAUUUUCAGCCGGUUACGACCUACUUAGAUGGUCAUGGACGUCGCACACAUGUACUCUGUUUUGAUUGGUUCAGAGGCAUGUCAUGCGGAUCAUGGAUCGAGCACCGUCCGAUCCACCCGGAUCCAACGGCAGCGCUCCCUCCUCACCUUCUCACCCCACCUAGCCCAACAACCCACAGGCCACAGCCCGCACUCCUCCCUCGUCCCCCGCGAACCCUAGCGCUCCCCGAUCCCUCCCACCUCCCCUCCCCUUGCCGCCACCCACCCCUCCCCUCGCUCUCCUCCCUCCCUCCCUCCCCAAGAUCCAGCGCGCUCCAAGAUCCCCAUGCUCUGCUCCUCCCCCCUCCCCUCCGGCAAGAUCCAGCGUGCGACCUCCCUCUCCUCAAUCCAGAUCGAGGCACCCCGCCGCCCCGCCUCCGUCUUCCUCCGUCUCCCACCCGAUGGAGGCCGCGGUGGGGGGAAGCGAGGGGCCAAACACCCGCUUCCAACACACAAGGUCUCGGCUUCCCCUCCCAUCACCGCACCACUCGUCCGCUAGCUCCCCACGCAGGCGGAUUCAGAUGGAGGCGGUCGUCGCUGGCGGGGGCAGCGGGCUGGGUACCAUGAGCGCCGUGCUCGCCAUCUGUCAGAACCGGGAUCUGACACCAUCCUCCAGUGGUGGGGAUUCAACAUUGCCGUCAUCAACAAGCGGGUAUUCUAGGAUGCCACCACGCUCCACUUCCUGACCAGAUUUGGUAAAGGUGCCGCCAGAUCUUGCCACACUGGGCAUCAGGACCGCUGGAUGCUUCUCUCACGGUGGUCAAGCCAAGCUCUCCUACGGUGGUCAGAACGGGCGUCGUCAACCCCGCCACUCCCUCUUCCCCAUGACUCCACCUCGACAACCUGGUAAG